UUAUAGCUACAUUGAAACACCAGUUCCCAUACGAUUACCAAAGUUAAGCAAUGUCAAACCUGGUCAGUCCCUAGAUGGGUGACCAUCUGGGAAAUAACAGAUGCUGUA